ACGGGUGAGUAAUGUCUGGGGAUCUGCCCGAUAGAGGGGGAUAACCACUGGAAACGGUGGCUAAUACCGCAUAACGUCGCAAGACCAAAGAGGGGGACCUUCGGGCCUCUCACUAUCGGAUGAACCCAGAUGGGAUUAGCUAGUAGGCGGGGUAACGGCCCACCUAGGCGACGAUCCCUAGCUGGUCUGAGAGGAUGGCCAGCCACACUGGAACUGAGACACGGUCCAGACUCCUACGGGAGGCAGCAGUGGGGAAUAUUGCACAAUGGGCGCAAGCCUGAUGCAGCCAUGCCGCGUGUAUGAAGAAGGCCUUCGGGUUGUAAAGUACUUUCAGCGGGGAGGAAGGCGAUGUGGUUAAUAACCGCAUUGAUUGACGUUACCCGCAGAGGAAGCACCGGCUAACUCCGUGCCAGCAGCCGCGGUAAUACGGAGGGUGCAAGCGUUAAUCGGAAUUACUGGGCGUAAAGCGCACGCAGGCGGUCUGUUAAGUCAGAUGUGAAAUCCCCGGGCUUAACCUGGGAACUGCAUUUGAAACUGGCAGGCUUGAGUCUCGUAGAGGGGGGUAGAAUUCCAGGUGUA
rnacentral:rRNA from 1 species